GCCCGCCUAGCUCAAUCGGAUAGAGCGUCAGACUUUUAAGGCGAGCGCACAAUCCGGUGCCUACUUGACCAAUCUGAAGGCUGCGAGUUCGACCCUCGCGGUGGGCU